CGUGUAUAGUCACUUUCAGGAUCAGGUAUUUAAAUUCACAGUCAUCGGGUGGUAGUCGGCUAGAUCUAACCGGUAAGUUUUCUCUAAAUUUAUACAAUCAUUAUUUUUAUUAACGGAAUUAUAUUUUUACAUUAAAAAUAAAUCGUGAGCUAUUGAUUACCACUAGCAAACUAUUAUAGUCUUUGAAAAUCUGAGAUCUACGACUCCUUAAAAUUGGCUUAAUGCUUUGCAAAAUUCAAUGAAACUCAAUCUGUGAGACAAUAAUGGAAAUGAGUCUUAAAAAGUAAAGAUGCUAUCUUACUCUGUUGUAAUAUUUUAAGCUUUAGCAUUUUUAUAAGUUGGCUACAUAAUUUUGUAGUAAAAGCAUUGCAAACAGUUAACACUACAAACUUCCACCAUUAUCAUCAUCAAUUGUAUUGUAUUAUAUGACUGUUACCAUAUACGAAAAUGGGAGAUGUAUUUUGGCUUUUUAAAAAUAUAUGAGAUUCUAAGAAACAAAGGUAGAAAGUAAGCAUAUUACAAAAGUAACUAUUGUCUAAUUAAUUACCAUUGCCAGUGGUAUAAAUGGAAUUUGCUAGAUAAGAUAAAAUGUAUACAGCUAAUAAACAGUGAAAAGCAAUACUAAUAUCAGCAAAACUUGAUGUAACAACUUUGCAUGGACUGUCUUGUUUAUGUAAAGUAUAAUUUGAAGUGUGCUGCAUAACCAAAUGCAUAUUUAAACAAGUAAUCAGUCAUUUUCUCUUACUUGAUCAAGUUUUUACUUUUGUAGUAUUAUGAUUAUAGUCAAAUAUGCAUCUGUGAAGCAUAUGAUUUUUAAGAAUUUUAAUCGUAUUCGAAUAUAAUUUUGUUUGUAAGAAAGCAGCUAUUCAAAAGCAAGUUCAAUUUAACAGCGUAUUAUUUCAAUGAUUCUACAAAUAUUUGAUAUUGGAAAUAUUUGUUGAAAGGAAGGAAAACCGGUUUUUAGGAUUUAAUAGACAUUUAAAAUUUUGUUCCAGCUCAAUGAGUUUGCUCUAUUUUAGUUUCACUGACCAGAAUGCUGACAAAUCAAUUAAAAUUUAUUUGAACUGUGUCAUUCAAUAUGUAUAUUUAAAUCUCAUUACAUCAGAAGAAAACACAGAAUAACCUCCAAAUAACUAUGUUAUAUCAUUAACAAGGUAUACUCGUUUCUUAGAUGCGUAUGGCUGGGUAUCAGAUACUACCGGCAUGAGAUGGGAGUGUCUGUAAAGUAUUGCCUUUAUGUGCAUGUAUUUCAACAUUAACUAAUUAAAUACAAUCUGAGCAGGCAUUGCUAUAAAAAAAUAUUAUUAACUUCAAUUGUAUUCGUGCUUGUGGCCAUUAUGAUUAAACGGGAGUUUGAUUUUUUUAUUUCCUCUAUUAGUUGAAAACUACACUUAUCAUGUACGAUGAUGUGUUAUGGCUAGAAACUUUAAUAUUUUGAAUAUAUCAGCAAAUUGGAAAUCUUUAAUGCAAUAGUUUUUAAAGAGAUGUAAGGCUGAAUAUCAAUAAAUGUAAAGGUAUGUUGUGGGCAGGCUGGUUGUUUCUGAUUUUGUAUUUUGUUACUGAAAUACUCAAAGCCUACGUCGUACUCAGUAUUUUAACUCAAGCAGCAAAAAGAGCCAUACAUAAAUAUGUUUGAUCUUUUGACCCAAUAUACAUGUAUCUCGAAAUCCAUAGACACACCAAGACCCGUACUCGGCAUUUUUCCUUCACGUUUCUAAAAAUAAAGCCAUUUUACAUGAGUACUUUUUUUUUAUCUUUUUACUCAAAAUAUCCCAGAAGUCAAUGAACAAACAUAUGUAAAGGCAAACUUAGUUAUAAAACCAAUCCAGUAACACAUCAAACUUGUCUAAAAGUAUGCAUGAAAACCAGAUUGAAAUAUCUUAAAAAGGGAAUUUCUGUUAUUGAAUGCAAUGCUAAACAUUUUUUCUCUGAAGCUCUAUUAACUGCUAAAGAUAUAAAUCAUGUCUUUUUCUAACACCGCAUUGUAAGUAUUUUUUGGACAUGCUGUGUUUUAUUUUUUUUUAUCAUUAAAUUGCAGAAAUGAAUAAAUGCUAGAUAUAUAGUACUUAAGUAUUUGUUAUUUGUAUUUUAUUGAAUAAGUCGACAGUGAAAUAGAUAGUUAACUUAUUUUGAAUGAAUAUGAAUAAAAGCAAUCGAAUAUAUACCGGUUAUUUAUCAAAAGUAAAUUUAUUGUACUUUUAGUAUUACUCCCUACUAUGUGUGUACUGUUAAAGUUAAGAAUACAUGUCUCGAUAUGUCUCAAAAAUCUUUUGCCUCAUUGUCACGGUAGGUGUACAAAAAUGACCAACGUUAAUGUUAGGAUAAUCAAAAAUACAAAUGUUAAGGUAUCUUCUUAUUUGAAUUGUCUUUUUUAAAUCAUUAAAGCUGGCCAGAAUUGAAAUUGAAUAAGUUUGUUCACAUGAUUUUGUGGUACUAGACAUAGGAAGAUAAAUUUUAAAUAAUAACCACCUUACCUUGAAUUUCACUUCUAGGUCUAACCAUGAGUGUAAUUGGUAAUUUUCGGGCUUGAACGUGUGUUUUUUAACUUCCAGUUCAACACUAGAGUCCACUUUUGAAUUAAAAUGAAAAAAACAACCUAGCAUAUGUAAUGUUCAACGCUUUAUAAUUUUGAUCACCACUUACAAACAUUAAGAGACUGAAAACCGUAUCUGUUUCAUUCGGUUAUACAACUAGUGCAUGUAUAAAGAAUGUACCAAACACAACACAAUUUGAGACAUAAAAUAACCGUAUAUUUAUCAUUGCAAUAAAAAAAAGUAUUUUAAAUAACUUUAAAAAAAAAAGUUUCGAUAUUGCUGAAAUGUAACUAGCUAAUAAGCUAUACAUAUGUAAUCAGGAGUCUGUAUUUCUGUGGUUACCGUGUGUUGCUGUAUAUCAGAAUUAGUAUCGUUUAUUGUCUUGUAAACAUAUAUAGUUUGCUCUCUCGAAUUGUUAAAGCAUUUGUCAUUUCGGGGCGUUUUCAGGCAAAGCUAACUAAGGGUUUGGUCAUUGCUGAAAUCCUUAUAUUGACCUUGAAAUGUUUACUUCUACUUUAUUUGGUCUCUGGUGGAGAGUUGUUUAAUUCAGUGGCAAUCAUACCAUUUCAUCUUAUAUAUAUGGUUUAAAUCAAGUUUUUUAUAUAGAUUAGACCGUUGUUUUUCCACCUUUGAAUGGGUUGACACCAUACAUUUUUGUGACCCUUUAUAUCUUUCUGUUCGAUGUGAGCCAAGGCUACGUGUUGAAUAUCGUACCUUUUCUUUUACAAAUUGUGACUUGGAUGGAAAGUUGUCUCAUUGGCACUCAUACGGUCAUACAACAUCUUCUUAUUUCUACAAAUGUAUUAUGUAUAGACAAAUAUGUUAGCUAAACAUCAAUGAGACAGCACCAAAACGACACAAGCAAAUAAUAACUGGUUAUAGUCUGUUCAUUUUAUAGGCGUAUUUACGAUUUCAAAUUCAGAAGGAAAUAACUUCCUACAAAAGUAAACUAAGCUUAACUGUGAAUUCAGAAGUUGAUAGUUUGCUGUCAAUUGGUCCACUGUCUCCAGGUGAAAAAGUAGCGAUUUGAGUUAUGUGUCGCAAUUUAGUGUAAAAUGUGCUGUAGUGUCGAGUUUAAUAUUUCCUUUAUGACAAACAAAUCAAUUAGAACAGAUUGUAAUACGCCGGGAUUAAUACAAAUAAUUAUUCACAUGUUUUAUCAAACAACAGUAAAAGAUGAAAGAAUUUAUAGACGAUAAUCAAUAGCCAAUACAAGCAGAAUUAUUAGCUUCACUGUAACUUAAUGAUUAUAUACAAUGUAUAUAUUUACCAUGUUUUAUUAUUUUUUUAUUUCGUGAAACUAUGUUAAUUCACCAAAAUCAUUGGAGUUUAAACAUCUAGUUUUCAUUGUUUAUUAUUAUAGUUAUCAAUUACUUGUCUUAAAUGUCCCAGACUUUCAUUGAUACUCUAUUUACUACUAUAUAUUGAUUGUGUCCAGUGCUUAAAUAAAGUGCUUGCUUUCAUAUUGAAUCUAGCCCCAGGGUCAAACUAUAAUGGCUUUUAACCAUACAUUAUGUAUGGAGGCGUAUAUAUAUAUAAGUGCCUCUUCACUAUAUUCUCCAUGUUACGUCUUAAGUUAAAUAUCGGCAAACCAUGUGACCUUUAACGAAUGAGAAAAAAGAUGUGUAAUCAAUAUAUAUUUUUUUAUUCGAAUGGGGAAAAAAAUCUAGAGCUUUGAACUGAUUAUAUGUCACACACACAAAAAAAGUAUUAUUUUGUUCGCUCUUCUAAAAAAAAAAAAACAGGUUGACAGUCACUCAUCUUAACAAACUUCAAUCAUAAUAAGUGACAAAUUUCUAAUGUAUUGACCUUUGGGGUAUUUUCAGUAUUUGUAUUUUCUUAAGUACUUAUACCUUCCAUUUUAAAAAUUUAUACGUUUGAAACAUGUUUGCGGACAUUUAACGCCCCAUAGAACUGGUUCUGAAAGUAACGGUGGGCGUUGUUGAAUAGAGUAAGACAGAUUUCUGUUUUGGUAAACGGAGUCGGAUUUCUAUAUAAUUAAUUUUAAAGCGGUGAAUAACAAAGUUAUAUUAGUUGGUUUUCUUCUGACACCAAAAUGUAUUAAUCAAUUAUAAUCACUCAAUACAGAAGCCAAAAAUUGGGACGUUUAUAUCUUAUUAAAGGCUCAUUUAUACAUACAAAAAUCUCGUGUUUAACUGAUUCGUCAGAUUUUCCCUCGAUACCCACAUGUACGAAUCAAUUUUAGUUACACAUACACAAGUAAAACAAAUUGGGACGUUUAUUUUAUAUUAAGUGCUCAUUAUGCACAAAUCAAUCUCGUCUUUAACUGAAUUAAAGUUUACGUCCAUCUAAACAUUGCAUGGCAAUUUUAGGUUCCCAUCUGUUGUAGAGUUGUCACUGGUUCAGACAUACUUAUAAAUAUAAUUAUUUCUGUGACUGUAUCUUACAUUAAUUUGUAGGAUCCUUUACUAUAGAUCAUUUAGCUGAUCUGUAAAAAUAACAUCUUCAUAUCAUGUACUGUAGUACGACGCUAGAUUAAAACUGACGUGGAAAGGUAACACCCGGUCACCGAAAGCUUCAUUUUUGAAGCCCAGGUGGUCGUGUGGUCUAGCGCGCCGGUUACAGUGCAGGCGAUUUGGUGUAACGAUAUCUCAGUAGCAUGGGUUCGAAUCCGGGCGAGGGAAGAACAAAAAAUUUGCGAAAGCAAGUUUACAGAUCUAACAUUGUUGGGUUGAUGUUUAGACGAGUUGUAUAUGUAUAUAUAUAUAUGUAUUACUACUUUUUAGGUUAAAGUGCUGCAAAAGAAAGAGGUCAGAAAUUGUCAUUUUCGAUAGUCUGACAAAAUGGUGUGCACUACAAAGAUGGUGCUGCCACUGGUAGUGUUGAUAGGGAUCUUCUUACAACCAACGUAUGCCCAAG
rnacentral:lncRNA from 1 species